GCGCACGCUGGCGGCAGGCCUCACACAUGCAAGUCGCACGAACCUUUCGGGGUUAGUGGCGGACGGGUGAGUAACACGUGGGAACGUGCCUUUAGGUUCGGAAUAACUCAGGGAAACUUGUGCUAAUACCGAAUGUGCCCUUCGGGGGAAAGAUUUAUCGCCUUUAGAGCGGCCCGCGUCUGAUUAGCUAGUUGGUUGAGGUAAUGGCUCACCAAGGCGACGAUCAGUAGCUGGUCUGAGAGGAUGAUCAGCCACAUUGGGACUGAGACACGGCCCAAACUCCUACGGGAGGCAGCAGUGGGGAAUCUUGCGCAUUGGGCGAAAGCCUGACGCAGCCAUGCCGCGUGAAUGAUGAAGGUCUUAGGAUUGUAAAAUUCUUUCACCGGGGACGAUAAUGACGGUACCCGGAGAAGAAGCCCCGGCUAACUUCGUG
rnacentral:rRNA from 1 species